AAAUUGCUCCUGAAGUCGGCCAAGAAGAGACUUAAGAAGGAUAUGACUGGGGCCUUCUAUGUUCCAAAAGGCUUGGAUCAUUGGGAAAGGCAGUGUUUCUCCAGGGUCUCUUCCAGCUCUAAUUGUCGGAUUCUGUCUUUGCAGAAAAACGACGAGCCAAUGAGGUCCACAAGCCACAAUUACGAAAACUCCGAGAGGCCAACAUUUCAGCCAGACGGACAGUGAGUCCUCGGUUGGCACCAAGAGUAAGUGUGCACAUGAUCUGGGGAGACGGGUUUCGACGUCCACCUCAAAGAUGCUCCUCAUGGAGAGACCCAUCGCGGUGACUUAACCGCCACCCCUCUGUUGUUUGUUUCUGCACACGGUUGGACAAGGGGUAAGAGCCCGGCCCAGUUUUGCUGUGAAUUUCCUUUGUGAAGAGCUCCUGCUGGCCCUGGCUGCUUGCUUGGCCUCAUCCUGCCUGUCACGCAGCAGCUGUGUCUCCAAAUUUGGCCUGGACAUGGGAAGGAAUGCUGUGUUCGUGAGCUUGGCCUAACACAGGAAUGUGUAUAUUGAUCUGAACUGUGCCAAGUGUGUGCCGUGGAAGUGAGAGCGUUGACAAUGGACCGGGAUAUGCAGUUCUAUGGGAUUCCUUCUAGCCGCCCCCUCCCUGUGGAACGCCUUCCCAAAGGAAGCUAGCCUGGGGGCUUCCUCUCAGUUUUUGACAGGAUGUAAGUUUUGUCCGGUUCUGGGUGGCAUUUCGCUGCUUCCAGAGCAUCCCUGGGGGGCAUUUUGGCAGAAAACCCCACAGCAUCUCUCCUGGGGAGGUUGUGAAGGACAGACCCAAGUUUCCCCCGGAUAUGUCCACACAUGGAUUUCGGAAGGAGGCAGUUCUCUGACCCCAGAAGUCAAGACUCUGCGGGGGCCUCUUCAUGUUCUUGUAAAACGGGAUAAAAAGGGAAUUUGCUUUUAA